UACGUAGGGUGCGAGCGUUACUCGGAAUUACUGGGCGUAAAGCGUGCGCAGGUGGUUUGUUAAGUCAGAUGUGAAAGCCCCGAGCUUAACUUGGGAACUGCGUUUGAGACUGGCAAGCUAGAGUCUGUCAGAGGGGGGUAGAAUUCCCCGUGUAGCAGUGAAAUGCGUAGAGAUGUGGAGGAAUACCAAUGGCGAAGGCAGCCCCCUGGGAUAAGACUGACGCUCAUGCACGAAAGCGUGGGGAGCAAACAGGAUUAGAUACCCUGGUAGCCCACGCCCUAAACGAUGUCAACUGGUUGUUGGGCAACUUGAUUGUUCAGUAGCGAAGCUAACGCGAGAAGUUGACCGCCUGGGGAGUACGGUCGCAAGAUUAGAACUCAAAGGAAUUGACGGGGGCCCGCACAAGCAGUGGAGCAUGUGGUUUAAUUCGAAGCAACGCGAAGAACCUUACCAGGACUUGACAUCCCCCUGACGGGAGUAGAGAUAUUCCGUCCCUUCGGGGCAGGGGAGACAGGUGGUGCAUGGUUGUCGUCAGCUCGUGUCGUGAGAUGUUGGGUUAAGUCCCGCAACGAGCGCAACCCUUGCUAUUAAUUGCCAUCAUUAAGUUGGGCACUUUAAUAGGACUGCUGGUGAUAAACCGGAGGAAGGUGGGGAGGACGUCAAAUCAUCAUGCCCCUUAUGUCCUGGGCCACACACGUGCUACAAUGGGCGGUACAACGGGAAGCAAGAGAGCGAUCUGGAGCGAAACCCUAAAAGCCGUUCGUAGUUCGGAUUGCAGGCUGCAACCCGCCUGCAUGAAGCCGGGAAUUGCUAGUAAUCGCGGAUCAGCAUGCCGCGGUGAAUCCGUUCCCGGGCCU
rnacentral:rRNA from 1 species